GCUGCAAGGGCGGCGUGCUUACACAUGCAGUCGAACGAUGAACCAGGUGCUUGCACUUGGGGAUUAGUGGCGAACGGGUGAGUAACACGUGAGUAACCUGCCCCUGACUCUGGGAUAAGCCCGGGAAACUGGGUCUAAUACCGGAUAUGACUGUUCACCGCAUGGUGGGUGGUUGAAAGAUUUAUCGGUGAGGGAUGGACUCGCGGCCUAUCAGCUUGUUGGUGAGGUAAUGGCUCACCAAGGCGACGACGGGUAGCCGGCCUGAGAGGGUGACCGGCCACACUGGGACUGAGACACGGCCCAGACUCCUACGGGAGGCAGCAGUGGGGAAUAUUGCACAAUGGGCGAAAGCCUGAUGCAGCGACGCCGCGUGAGGGAUGACGGCCUUCGGGUUGUAAACCUCUUUCAGUAGGGAAGAAGCGAAAGUGACGGUACCUGCAGAAGAAGCGCCGGCUAACUACGUGCCAGCAGCCGCGGUAAUACGUAGGGCGCAAGCGUUAUCCGGAUUUAUUGGGCGUAAAGAGCUCGUAGGCGGUUUGUCGCGUCUGCCGUGAAAGUCCAAGGCUCAACCUUGGAUCUGCGGUGGGUACGGGCAGACUAGAGUGAUGUAGGGGAGACUGGAAUUCCUGGUGUAGCGGUGAAAUGCGCAGAUAUCAGGAGGAACACCGAUGGCGAAGGCAGGUCUCUGGGCAUUUACUGACGCUGAGGAGCGAAAGCAUGGGGAGCGAACAGGAUUAGAUACCCUGGUAGUCCAUGCCGUAAACGUUGGGCACUAGGUGUGGGGGACAUUCCACGUUUUCCGCGCCGUAGCUAACGCAUUAAGUGCCCCGCCUGGGGAGUACGGCCGCAA
rnacentral:rRNA from 1 species